ensembl:snoRNA SNORD10 small nucleolar RNA, C/D box 10
GUAUAAUGAUGAAACCCAUGCGUGUCAUCUGAUUCUGGUCAGCCCUCCUGUGCUGUUGCUCUGGGUGGCGUUUUGCUAGCCUGAGUCUUCAGCACUGAAGGAGUCCAGAGGCAUGAUCAGACAACACUGCUCUGAAUGC